GUGCUUUAGCUUAUAUACAAUAACUGGAAAGAUAUGGAGAAGAUCCUCACAGUCUCUGGGCAAGGAUGAGAAGCAUUUUCAUAAAGCUUCUCAUAUUUUU
rnacentral:snRNA from 1 species